rnacentral:tRNA from 1 species
AGCCCUGGGGUGUUUACACAUUAAAUUGCAAGUUUAAAGUAGGACUCGGAUGAGUCCCGGGGCUU